UGUUUUUUUCACAGAAGCUUUUGAAUUUUACAAUUUAAAAAUCUAGGUUAUCAUUUGAAUCCCUUGCUCUGAUUCUAGCGUCGCUGUUGAUUCCGUCUUCGGGUGACCUUCGGCAAAUCGCUCAGGGCCUGAUUCUCUAGCCUUGAAAACCCCCACUUGAAUUCAAGUCCCUGAUCUUCUCUGUCACCCCUCACCCACAAUCGGUAAGAAGGCUUAAUUAUAGUACAGGACAAGAUACAGGAAGGGAUUAGUUUAUGAGCGAAUCUUUCGGAGCGCUGCCACUCCCUUCAUUUACAUCAGGAUGUUUUUGUUUUUAAACCGUGUGCAAAUUUGCUUGGAAUUUGGAAGGAAAUCCCAAUGGAUUCUAGUGGAAUGUGCUCCCUAUUGAUGCUUCGAUUCUAAACACGUUUACUUGGGGGUAAAGAAUGUGCUGAUCUGAUGUCUCCUGCAGUAGAAGAAGGAGGUCACAAAUCCUGGCAACAAUCCAUGUGGCAUGGAGCACCCCAUUCCAUGAAGCAUAGAGCAGUGGAUGAAGAAUUCCUGGAUUCUGAUUCCAGUUUCCACUCACCUGACUUGUUAUGGACCUUACUGAUCUUACCAGCUUCCCAUGCCUAGGGGGCCAGAACUUUUGCCUUUCCUCCUGACACAAAUCACACUAUCCUGCUGUUGCAUGGCCAUUAUUAUAGGACUGCAAAAAGGUAUUGGUACAAACAGCUAUGUACGCCAGUUUCAUCCAAAUUAACAGGGAUGCCAAUUUCAUUCAAACUAACCAAUACAACAUUACUUGUUCCUAGUCUAUCCAACAAAGGGAAAGUUCCUAUUUCUUUCCUUUCCUUGUUUGUCUCAAUUUUGGGAAUAAUCUAAUCACAAAUUCUCUUUUUAAAGCAGGGGUCAUGUGAGUACUGAGGAAGUUAAGAUGGCAAUGGCCAAGGGUACUGUGGAAGAGGACUGUUUAAUAUCCAGAGCAAGGCUCUUUUCAUUUCUGAAGUCAAGUUUACAUUGGCACACACAUCUAAUUCUGAUAUAAGCUGAGAAAACCAGGGAAGCUUGAACCAUAUCUACUCAUUGAUCCCUGGCUACUAGAUUCCCCUGUGAAGGCUUCUGGUAGCUUAGUGGUUUAGGAAAACCUUCAUGAUACAUGCCGUAAUGAUUCAUGGCUGUUCUAACGUAGGAGAAAGGGUUACCAGACAGAUUGAAUAUGGAAUGAUGUGUUGCACAGAGUAGGCACCGCACUGCAGCUGCACUUACAGUGACACUUAUGCACGGUUUAUAUCAUGAAUGUGCUGGUUGCACAUCAACAUAUAUGCAAUGCACAGCUGAUUUGGGAUUUGUGCUAAUGCAAAGAACAGCAUGGAAUAUCAGGACAAAGAGGGAUGGUUUGUCCUUCUGAGGAAAAAAAAUGACAAAUGCAGACUUUGUUGUCUUUCUCUGGUGUGUUGCACUUUGUGGCUUCACCCAGAAUUACUGUUGUUUUAUUUACUCAUUUACUUCUAAUGAGUAAGAAUACCUCCAAAGGCACUGGAGAGACAACAAAACAUAUCUAGUCCUUCUGGAAUUACCUUUCCUCAAUACUAGAAAGCCGUUUUCAAAAUAACAUUGCUACUCGUCGUUCUGCCCCAAAAUGAAUUACUGCUGUCUAUUCCUCUAUCUCAGUCCAAACACUCCUCAUCUUCCUCAAUCCUUUGUAUGGUUAGCUGUGCAAAACCAAAGGAGUUACCCACAUUCUGCAAUGCUGUUUGGGAAAGUGAGCCACAAAAGAUAUGCUAUGUCAUGUCUUUUUAUCUCCGUAUGAGGAUUGCCAAAGAAGCUUAAAGGAGGAGUAAAGUAGACAAACGUUGUGAGGAGAAGAGGAAAUAGCUCUGAUCCUUUUUUACAACAUCAAUGCUUGUAACCACUUGUGGUAGCAGGUUUCAGAACAUUUGAGCUUUAAUCUUAAUUUUCAGUUAUUCUCGCUGCAGUUAGCAGAAGCUUUCAAAGCGAUUUUUAAAAAAUCCCUCCAUCUUGAUUCACUUUACAAUACACCCUAAAGGCAUGUCUGCAAUACACAUUUAAAGCAGUUUAAAACCUGUUUAACCAUCAUAGUUCACAGCUGGUUUAACUUUGUAAUGUUCAUGUAUUCUAAAUCUGGUCCUUGGCUCUUACAACAGACAUUAGAUAACCAUGAACUGG